GUAGGGGGGGCAAGCGUUGUCCGGAAUCAUUGGGCGUAAAGCGCGUGUAGGCGGGCUUGGUAAGUCCGGUGUGAAAACUUGGGGGGCUCAACUCCAAGCCUGCAUCGGAAACUGCCUCGCUAGAGUCCGGGAGGGGAGAGCGGAAUUCCUAGUGUAGCGGUGAAAUGCGCAGAUAUUAGGAAGAACACCGGUGGCGAAGGCGGCUCUCUGGAACGGUACUGACGCUAAGACGCGAAAGCGUGGGGAGCAAACAGGAUUAGAUACCCUGGUAGUCCACGCCGUAAACGAUGGGCACUAGAUGUGGGCGGUGUCGACUCCGUCCGUGUCGUAGCUAACGCAUUAAGUGCCCCGCCUGGGGAGUACGGCCGCAAAGGCUAA
rnacentral:rRNA from 1 species